AGAUUGAAGAACAAAUCCAAGAGCUUGACAAGAUUGAAAAUGACAUUUCUUGGAAUGCAUUAGAGCCUACCCUAGAUUCAUGAGCUUUCGUGAGUUGAAGGGUUUAAUGCAAAUGGAGAUAUUUUGGAGAGAUGAAAUGGAUAUAGUUUGGAAAGAUGAAAUGGAUAUAAAUGGAGAAUGUUAAAAACAUACAUUUCAAUUAUGUGUUAAUUCAAGACUUAUGUAAUAUUUUUAAUUAUGUAGUGAUU